rnacentral:rRNA from 1 species
UACGGGGGGGGCAAGCGUUGUUCGGAAUUACUGGGCGUAAAGGGCUUGUAGGUGGCCAACUAAGUCAGACGUGAAAUCCCUCAGCUUAACUGGGGAACUGCUUCUGAUACUGGAUGGCUUGAGUUUGGGAGAGGGAUGCGGAAUUCCAGGUGUAGCGGUGAAAUGCGUAGAUAUCUGGAGGAACACCGGUGGCGAAGGCGGCAUCCUGGACCAACACUGACACUGAGGCGCGAAAGCUAGGGGAGCAAACAGG